UACAGAGGUCCCAAGCGUUGUUCGGAUUUACUGGGCGUAAAGGGUGCGUAGGUGGUGAGGUAAGUCUGAUGUGAAAUCUCCGAGCUUAACUCGGAAAUGGCAUUGGAAACUACCUUGCUAGAGGGUUGGAGGGGGGACUGGAAUACUUGGUGUAGCAGUGAAAUGCGUAGAUAUCAAGUGGAACACCAGUGGCGAAGGCGAGUCCCUGGACAGUUCCUGACGCUGAGGCACGAAGGCCAGGGGAGCAAACGGG
rnacentral:rRNA from 1 species